CACCUAGGAGACUGCCGGGCUCUAGUGGCCAAAAUGCAGUGCUGAGAAGCUGGAGCUGCUUGCUUUUAUUCAGUGCAGGCACAAUGCCGAAAAUGUGGAGCCACAACACAACCUGCAGGUAAUUAACAUUUAUUGUUCCCCUUUCAGGGAAAGUCAUGUGCAUGGAUGAUCAAAGGUCAGUUCCCAGUCAGCAUAAGUAAACAAGCCUGUUAAAAUAAUUCCCCCACAUUCCCUUGUACCUACUCCUUGCCCUCUGCCUCAGGGUUAUAGAACAGCUGCCUUCAGCUAUUCUAUAACCUCCUGACCUUUCAGAAAGUUUGUGUCCUUCCCCUACAGUUUUUCCCACCACUCUGACCAAUCAGUCCCCCCUUAUCUUUUAUAAAUCUGGUCCUUUUUCCUGUCUUCUAACUGUUGCAGCAGCUUCUUCCUUGGCAAUUGCAGGAUCUGGGAAUCAUCUUACAAAGCCUGAAACUGAUUUUACUUGCUUACCCAAGAGUCAUGAAGACGAGAAAUGGAUAUCUGACCAAAUGUAACAUCAGGGUUCAGUCCCCUCUAAUUCCACUUUAGGGUAUACUGAUACAGCCUGGCUCUUCACUAAAGUCCAAGAAUCCAAUUGUUCCCAACCCCUUAAGGGUCCAGAGGUUUAUUGGAUCUUACAAGCAUCCUGCGUUGUUGCUGGGGUGUGUUCACACGUUGAGCAGGUGAAGAGUGAGGAUGUGGAGGUGCAUAUGAAUGAGACCUCUGUGGCAGAGGGCAGUCCCAAAGAGUCACCUGUCCUGGUCACAGUAAGAGCAUGGACACUAUAGUCCUGCCACUGCUUCUGGGGACUUACCCAGUGUUCCUCCAGCAAGUACUUUUCUUGGCUCCCAGCCCUGGCAUAGGUAUAAGAACUGAGCAGAAAUCAAUCAGAAUGGAGACCACCUUUUUUCCCUUGCUUCUGUGAUACAUUAUCUCUUAUGGUAAUCUUUACCAUAAGGGAGAGGUUAAAAGAGGACACCUUUUCACUUCUUUUCAUAUCAUAGAGGUGUUUGAUCGUCCAUUCAACAGAGCUUCACAGCCCAUCCAAAAGUCUGAGAUUCCUCUGUUUACUUCUCUUUGGUGGGCUCAUAAAUACAGUCACGUGCCACAUGACAACAUUUCAGUCAACAAUAGAUCAUGUAUGUGACAGUGGUCCUGUAUGACUAUACUGCCAUGUUUUUAUCGUGCCUUUUCUAUCUUUAGAUAUCUUUGGGUAUGCAAAUGCUUAUAAUUGCCUGCAAUAUUCAGUAUAGUAACAUGCUAUACACGUUUGUGGGCUAGGAGUGAUAGGUUACACCAUAUAGCCUAGGAGUAUAGGAGGUUACACUAUCUAGGUUUGUAUAACUAAACUCUAUGAUGUUUCCACAAUGAGGAAAUCACCAUCGAUGAUGCAUUUCUCAGGACACAUUCCUGUCAUUAACCAACGAGGAUAUGCUCUACAGUUGAGAAUGACUGUAUUUGAGAAUAGGAAGGAAACAGGUACUUUUUGCUAUGGCAAUAUAAAAUAAAACACAGCUUAGGGUCUCUGCAGGUCUCACUAUCACUAGUUAAAUCUUUUCAAGAUACCUUGUUAUAUAAAAUGUUAAGGAAUUAAUUUAUAAAGCAGAAUACUGAUUUUUCAGUUUAACAUAGAUGCCAGAAUCUAUCCCUGACCUCAGUGUGUGACUUCUGCUGGAGAACUGGUGUUGGCCCUAUCAGAAAACAGCAAGGUGUUGUCGUGGAGUCUCUGCCCAGCCUGAGUUGGUAAAUGGAGCCCUUGUCUAAGACAACCUGAGAAACUGAUAUCAGAAAGGCACAUUGAGGCAGGGAGUCAAUAAGCCAGUUCAGUCACAGUUGGUUGUUAGAGGAAGAGGCCAAAAGUAGGGAUCCAAAGGUAGAGUGUUGGGGAAGGCAUGGGGAAGUGGGCAAUGGCAAAACAGAGGCAGAAGUGUAGAACCAUAGAGAAAAGGUAUUCUUGAUCACCACAUGAGGCUACACUCCACCAACAUGGAAUAAACUGGGGACAGUCCUGGACCAUUCAAUAAACUUGAAGUCUGAUGCUUGCUUUUCUGAG